rnacentral:lncRNA from 1 species
UUGUUUUGUAUAUAGCAGCACUGUGUGCCAGGUUUACCUCCUCGCCUUUCAUGUGUGCCUGGGACUGGGAACCCCCCUGCGCUCUGCAGCGGGAUGAAGAACAGCAAUUAAAGGAUGGCCAUAUUCCCUCAGCAGUUCCAUAACCUGCUUUUUUGAAGCAGC